GUAGGUCACUGAUCACCGGUGUUACUGUGUUACAGUAGAAAAUCUGUUCAGAAAUGUCAUUCCAGUUGUGGAUGAAAGUUCUCCAUAUCAAAACAACAGGGUCAAAGGGCAUGAUAUAACUCAAGUGUAAAAGAAAACUGAAUUAAAUUGGCAGUGAAAUUAUCAACCCAAGAAGGGAAGAUUAGGAGAAAAUCUCAUUGAGCAGCUUUGGUGAAAACACACUACAGUGUAAUGACAACCCAGACCCUCCCAGAUGCAAGAUGUUCUGGGCCAGGCUCUGCUCUCAGAUGGAUAUGGGGAAGAAGAAGAAGAAGAAGAAGAACGGCAGCAAUUAGCCUGGCGUAGGCAGCAAUAUGGAGAGAUUUGAAGAAAAAAAAAUGCUUGAUUCUGGAGAGUAAAUGGAUGCAGGUGCAGGCUUGUUUUGCGUGCACACCAAUCCGACAUUGCAACUGAAACCCACAGGCCGUUUAAGUUAACCAUUAAUAUUUGUUUGGCCGUGCUGUUUCUGCUUCAUUUCAGCCCACACCUGCGUUUGCCUCUGCAGAGUUGUUGCGAUGACAAUCAAUCUCUGUACACUCCAGAAAACCACCAUGGUCUUAUAGCAAGUGUUCUGCUCUCCUUUGACUGCAGACAGAGACAGUCAGCCCUAACCUGCCGCAAACAUCGGUGGUCAGAUGCAGUUUGAAAAACAUUUGUUUUGUGCGAAUAUGAUUAAUAUUGAUGCUGUUAAAGCAGGCGUCUGCGACCGAACUUGCCCUGCAUAAUGCAUAAUGCACUUAUGAUGCCAUAUUUACAGUCUGCUACAUAUGAGAUGCACCAUAGCUUCCGCUUAAGAUGGAGCACCACACGUUGUGUAAAUUAGGUGUGAAUGCUGCUAUGCAGAAUCUGUGCAAUUUGCCAUACAGUCUAGCAGUCAUACUGCCCCCAUGUGACAACUAUUGUCCAAAAAAAAAAAUUAUAUUCAGAGGAGAAUGGGAGGAGAAAGUUUGUACUUUUUGGCAGAAUGUGUUGUUUUCUCUGUCAGUGUGGACUGAUUGAUGCACAUUAGAGUUAUUGUUUAUGGAUUUCAACAGUUUCACCGACAUAAAUCAGCGUAGAUGUGGGGCAGAAACACGGUUAGAGGCCGUAGGUUUACAGUGAGAGGAUAUUUGUGUGGAUUUUUCAUGUUCUUCUUACAUUUGAGCUAUAUUGGUUUCUCCAAUGCAAUCACAGCUGUUAGACACGUGAAACAAAGUACAUUUUGUCCAUGAAUGAGGACGAUUUCCCGACUCUAGUUAAUAACUGAGUUUUUCUCCCCAUUUCUCCAAAUGCUUGCAUGGAAAACUACCAGUGCUUUCUUCUCUUUAUGAUUUGGGGAAACAGUGUUCUGAAUUAAAAUAUGUAUUCUGUGGCGUUUGUUUGAUGGACCAUCGUGAUAUCUGUAAUAUCUGUAACAUCGAACCAGUUCUCUUGCUAAAUAAAGUAAGUCAUAACUCGU